rnacentral:lncRNA from 1 species
AUUAAAGCUUCUUGAAACUUUAAGUGAGUGUACCAUAGCAUAAUUGAGAACAAUUUAUAAUGUUACGGUAAUAUGUUUUUAGUAUGUCAUUAAGAAAAAAUGAAUGGAAUUUUUAUGUAAUAGCCAUUGUGAUGACCGUAAGGCCCAUGAACAAGUGUCAGGGUAAUACAAAAUAGAAACAGAAUACAAUAUUAAUUUAAAGAGCAUGUCAGUAGAUUUACACUUCUCAAUUCUUUGUUGCAGGUCAAAACGUUAUUCCGUUUAUAUUAUGUGAGAUUUUUCCUGAUCUAUUCAAUAUGAAUGACUUUAUUUUAUUAACAUGAUACGAAUGAUAAAACAAAAUAUACAUGUAAAAUGAAAAUAUAUCCCGA